ensembl:lncRNA
UAUUCAUCAAGGCUUUUGGGGUGUAUAAGUGAUGGAAGCCUAACUGAGACUUCAUUAAGCAAAAAAAAAAAGGGGGGGGGGCAGAAAUUAGUCCGUAUAACUGAAAAAGUCCAAAGGUGUAGUUACGUUCAGGUAAAGCUGGAUACAGGUCCUCAAGUUUUGUCAGCAGGACUAUCUCUCAGUCCCUCCACUCUGUGUUUUUCUUCUAAAUUUUCAAGCAUGUUCUACACAGCUGGUGGCAAGGAGCUGCCAAUAGCUUCAGGCUUAUAUUCGAUCAGCAGGCAAAACCCUGUCACUUUCCCAGAUCAUGUUAACAGAAUGUGGACCUGACACUGAGACUCAGAAUGGGCCACACGUCUAAACUUAAACCAGUUUAUAAGACUCAGCUUGAUCAGUUAUUCGUUACCUGCUGAGCUGAGAUAUUAUCCAACACCACUGGGCUGGAUGUUCAGAAAGAAUGAUUUCCCAAAAGAUAAUCUUUAUACAGUUCCUAGAGAUAGAAGAAAUGGGUACUAAACAGGCAAAUAUUCUUGGCAUUUGGCAAGCCUGAGUAAAGGCAAUGAUUAUGUGUAGGAGCAGGAACAACUGUUUCCAUGUCAACUGCUGUCACCAUGGUGAGAAAGAUACCAAUCCAUUGCAUCAUCUGUGCGUGCCGGGGGCUUUUUGCAGCAAAUUUCAGACUAUGACUUUGGUGCUAACAUUUCAAAGUUGCACUUAUGAGGCCCUCACAGAGAGAGCCUGUCCCCACCAGGCUGAAGAACCAAUGAUGGCAUCUGCUAACUAGAUGAAAAGGAACUUUGCAUGUUACUGAACACAGUUUACCAGCAUGAGGGAAAAUCUGGGGACAGCUGCUGGUCAGUUAGCAAGAAGGUGACAGGGAAAUCCCAGGAAUUACGUUUUCAUGUGGACCCAGGAAAGACGAUAAUUCGCCAUUCUACCCCUAUGCUUGAUCUUUUCUUGUCGAUUGUUUUCCAUUCUCCAUAAACAAGAGUUGACCUUGACCAGAAUUGUAGCUGCCUGCCACUAUGGAGAAAUGUACUGGUUUGGCAAAGGUUAUCUUCAUGAAGAUAAAGCUCUUCUUAGCCAUUGUGCUCUCAAAGAGAAAAAAAAAUCCAACUGUCCACUUGUUAGUUUUUCCUGUUAGAGAACUGUACUGAGAGAUCUUAAUUAACAUUGUGUCUAUUUUGUAAUAAUCCAUUAAUAGUAACAGUGGUGGCAGAACAGGGACCAUCAAAUUUUAGAAUAACAAAGUAAGAAGUGGCUUUAUUAAUCGUUCCCACCCUGUAGCUUUCUCAGUUCAUCAGCGGAAUCUAUCUGUUCACUGCUGUAUUCCCAGUGCUGGCAUAGUGUCCAGAACACAAGAGUGUGCCACCAUUCCUUAUUCUUGUUCACAGCAGGCAUCAUUAAUCAAUCACCUUACUUUUUCCAUUGAUCAAGGGUGUGGUCUCAGAGGAAACAACCUAACCUACCACCUAAAGGAAUUUGAGAAGGGCAAAAAGCCCCAAAGAAGAAAGGAAAUAAUAAAGAUCAGAAAGGAAAUAAAUAAAGUAAAGCUAUAGAUAGAUAG